UCUGAUCUAUGAUGACCACUUGGUAAAAGUGACUGUUGGAUGAAGCUUGCGGAUAUGGGACUGAGAUCAGCC